rnacentral:rRNA from 1 species
UACGUAGGGGGCUAGCGUUGUCCGGAAUCAUUGGGCGUAAAGGGUGCGUAGGCGGGUUUUUAAGUCAGGGGUGAAAUCCUGGAGCUCAACUCCAGAACUGCCUUCGAUACUGGAGAGCUCGAGUCCGGGAGAGGUGAGUGGAACUGCGAGUGUAGAGGUGAAAUUCGUAGAUAUUCGCAAGAACACCAGUGGCGAAGGCGGCUCACUGGCCCGGUACUGACGCUGAGGUGCGAAAGCGUGGGGAGCAAACAGG